rnacentral:rRNA from 1 species
UCACGCAUGCUACAAUGGCCGGUACAAAGGGCUGCGAUACCGUAAGGUGGAGCGAAUCCCAAAAAGCCGGUCUCAGUUCGGAUUGGGGUCUGCAACUCGACCCCAUGAAGUCGGAGUCGCUAGUAAUCGCAGAUCAGCAACGCUGCGGUGAAUACGUUCCCGGGCCUUGUACACUCCUCCCUUCAAGUCACGAAAGUCGGUAACACCCGAAGCCCAUGGCCCAACC